UACGUAGGUGGCGAGCGUUGUCCGGAUUUACCGGGCGUAAAGGGAGCGUAGGCGGACUUUUAAGUGAGAUGUGAAAUACUCGGGCUCAACUUGAGUGCUGCAUUUCAAACUGGAAGUCUAGAGUGCAGGAGAGGAGAAUGGAAUUCCUAGUGUAGCGGUGAAAUGCGUAGAGAUUAGGAAGAACACCAGUGGCGAAGGCGAUUCUCUGGACUGUAACUGACGCUGAGGCUCGAAAGCGUGGGGAGCAAACAGG
rnacentral:rRNA from 1 species